GUGAGGAAUAUUGGUCAAUGGGCGAGAGCCUGAACCAGCCAAGUCGCGUGAAGGAAGAAGGAUCUAUGGUUCGUAAACUUCUUUUGCAGGGGAAUAAAGUGCAGGACGUGUCCUGUUUUGUAUGUACCCUGAGAAUAAGGAUCGGCUAACUCCGUGCCAGCAGCCGCGGUAAUACGGAGGAUCCGAGCGUUAUCCGGAUUUAUUGGGUUUAAAGGGUGCGUAGGUGGUUUGAUAAGUCAGCGGUGAAAGUUUGCAGCUUAACUGUAAAAAUGCCGUUGAAGCUGUCGGACUUGAGUGUAAAUGAGGUAGGCGGAAUGCGUGGUGUAGCGGUGAAAUGCAUAGAUAUCACGCAGAACUCCGAUUGCGAAGGCAGCUUACUAAGCUACAACUGACACUAAAGCACGAAAGCGUGGGGAUCAAACAGGAUUAGAAACCCGAGUAGUCC
rnacentral:rRNA from 1 species